AGAGUUUGAUCCUGGCUCAGGAUGAACGCUGGCGGCGUGCUUAACACAUGCAAGUCGAACGGACCGAAGAGAAAGCUUGCUUUUUCUGAGGUUAGUGGCGGACGGGUGAGUAACGCGUGGGUAACCUGCCCAUUACUGGGGGACAACAGUUAGAAAUGACUGCUAAUACCGCAUAAGCGCACAGGACCGCAUGGUCUAGUGUGAAAAACUCCGGUGGUAAUGGAUGGACCCGCGUCUGAUUAGCUAGUUGGUGAGGUAACGGCCCACCAAGGCGACGAUCAGUAGCCGGCCUGAGAGGGUGAACGGCCACAUUGGGACUGAGACACGGCCCAAACUCCUACGGGAGGCAGCAGUGGGGAAUAUUGGACAAUGGGGGAAACCCUGAUCCAGCGACGCCGCGUGAGUGAAGAAGUAUUUCGGUAUGUAAAGCUCUAUCAGCAAGGAAGAAAAUGACGGUACUUGACUAAGAAGCUCCGGCUAAAUACGUGCCAGCAGCCGCGGUAAUACGUAUGGAGCAAGCGUUAUCCGGAUUUACUGGGUGUAAAGGGAGCGUAGACGGCAAAGCAAGUCUGAAGUGAAAUCCCGGGGCUCAACCCCGGAACUGCUUUGGAAACUGUUUAGCUAGAGUGCAGGAGAGGUAAGCGGAAUUCCUAGUGUAGCGGUGAAAUGCGUAGAUAUUAGGAGGAACACCAGUGGCGAAGGCGGCUUACUGGACUGUAACUGACGUUGAGGCUCGAAAGCGUGGGGAGCAAACAGGAUUAGAUACCCUGGUAGUCCACGCUGUAACCGAUGAUUUCUAGGUGUUGGGGACUAGGAUGUCUUCGGUGCGGCAGCAAACGCAAUAAGUAAUCCCCCUGGGGAGGGCGUUCGCAUGAAUGAAACUCACAGGAAUGGGCCGGGACCCGCGCAAGCGGCGGUGCAUGUGCUUUAAUUUGAAGCAACGCGACGAGCCUUAUCACAUCUUUACAUCCCAAUGACAAACUAUGUAAUGUAGUGUUUUUUUGGAACUUUGGUGACAGGUGGGGCAUGGUGGUCGUCAGCUGGGGUCGUGAGAGGGUGGGUGAAGUCCCGCAACGAGCGCCCCCCUCGUGUUUAGUAGCCAGCAGUUCGGCUGGGCACUCUAGAGAGACUUCCAGGGAUGACAUGGAGGAAGGUGGGGAAGACGUCAAAUCAUCAUGCCCUCUAUGAUUUGGCCCCCCCACGUGCUCCAAUGGCGUAUACAAAGAGAAGGGAAACCGGGAGGUCGAGCAAAUCUCAAAAAUAACCUCUCAGCUCGGAUGGUCGUGUGCAACUCGACUACAUGAAGCGGGGAUCGCUAGUAAUCGCGAAUCAGAACGUGGCGG
rnacentral:rRNA from 1 species